GCUGGGCAUGGUGGCGCGUGCCUGUAAUCCCAGCUACUCUGGAGGCUGAGGCAGGAGAAUUGCUUGAACCAGGGAGUCGGAGGUUGCAGUGAGCCGAGUUCGCGCCACUGCACUCCAGCCUGGUGACAGAGAGAGACUCUGUCUCAA
rnacentral:SRP_RNA from 1 species